rnacentral:rRNA from 1 species
CCUACGGGAGGCAGCAGUGGGGAAUAUUGGGCAAUGGGCGCAAGCCUGACCCAGCGACGCCGCGUGAGGGAUGAAGGCCUUCGGGUUGUAAACCUCUUUCAGUAGGGAAGAAGCGAAAGUGACGGUACCUAAAGAAGAAGCACCGGCUAACUAUGUGCCAGCAGCCGCGGUAAUACAUAGGGUGCAAGCGUUGUCCGGAAUUAUUGGGCGUAAAGAGCUCGUAGGUCGUUUGCCGCGUCGAUUGUGAAAAUCUGAGGCUCAACCUCAGACCUGCAGUCGAUACGGGCAAACUAGAGUGUGGUAGGGGAGACUGGAAUUCCUGGUGUAGCGGUGGAAUGCGCAGAUAUCAGGAGGAACACCAAUGGCGAAGGCAGGUCUCUGGGCCAUAACUGACACUGAGGAGCGAAAGCGCGGGGAGCGAACAGGAUUAGAUACCCUGGUAGUCCGCGCCGUAAACGAUGGGCACUAGCUGUGAGAGCCUUCCACGGUUCUCGCGACGCAGCAAACGCAUUAAGUGCCCCGCCUGGGGAGUACGAUCGCAAGAUUAAAACUCAAAGGAAUUGACGG